AUAUAACCAGGUUACGAUCGCAAAAUGUAAUCAUUAACUUAUUUGCAAAUCAAAUGUACAUAUAUUAGUCAGGUUUUAAUAAACCAGAUAAAUUAUAGGCCUACCAACCACGUUGACUGACAUAUACAAAAAAUAAAUAAAUAAUUAAAAAUUGAACAGUUAAAGGAAGUCAAUAAAGAGUUUUGUUUCUCAGGUUCCACUGGCUGUCCUCAGGUUAUGGCUUGAGGUGAUAAAUUAUGCUGCAGUCAUCUCACAUUUGCGCAUUUCCCCAAGUAAAUAUGGGAGUUUCUCUAUGUCUGUUAUGUAUUCAAAUUCAGGGUGUAUUUUUAUUAUAUUGGGAAAAUGUUCAUUUCUCAGAGCCUGGUAUUUGGGGCAUGAGGUGAGGAAGUAUAGUUCUGACUCUACCGCUUGUCUGUUACACUGGGAGCAGAGUCUCUCCUCCUCUGGCAGCCAGCUCCGUCUAUGCCCUUCUCUAUAGCUACGCUGUGCUCACUGAGUCUGUAUUUAGUCAAGGCUUUUCUUAAUUUAUGAUUUUUUAAUGUGGUCCGAUAAUUUGCUAAUGUGAGGUCUCAUUUUAGGGUCAGAUAACAUUUUAAUUUACUCUGUUUUAGUUGUUUCCUUCCAAUAUGUGAUAUAGUUUCUUUUUGUUGGUUGAUAAUUUAGUUUGGGCUGAUUGGGUUGGUGAUGUGGUCUGGUCUGUGUCUGGGGCAUGUUAAGCUGUCUGGACCGAGCCUCAGGACCAGCUAGCUGAGGGGACUCUUUUCCUGCUUUAGCUCUUGGCAGGUUUGGACUGUGUGAUGGUGAUGAUGUGUGAUUAACACCAACAUUGUUAUGUUUCUUUUGUUGACAGUUUCAGCUAAGGGCAAAUACAAAGACAGGAGAGUUCAUUACUUACUCCACUGUGGCAUGGAUCCAAAAGCUUGGGCAAAAAGAUACAUGCACAGAAAGCCUGCACAAUGAUCUAUGAGUGGAACAAAGGAAUUUGCAAUCACUUCUGGUACUGCUGCAAGAUGGCUGAUGACUAUGACGCAUUUUUUGUAAGUAUUUUGUAACCGCUGUAAAUGUGUACUGUAAAUGUCAACAAUAAUAUUUACAGAUUUUAGUGCAUAUUGUAACUACUGUCCAAACUAUGUGCUGUAACCAACAUUGUUUUUAAGGUGCAUUGCCUGUACAGACAAAGCAGACACCAUAAGUUACUGUCAUUUUUAAAAAGUGACUGCUCAAUUACCAUUAUUUCCGUUAUAGUGAUGUAUGUGGCCGAUGAAGCUCAUUCACCAUUCAAAAAUGGUUCUCUGGAAAUGGGUAAUAUCCUUUAUUGUGCUUUUUGUGAUAUUGCCUGUGUUGUGUGUUAUCCUGAAUUUUGGUUACUGUUUAUCCUGCAGGAUAUUUGGACUGAAGUCUUGCACCAUGUGGUGGUAGAACACAGCCCCUUGACAGUCAACAGAGACAAGCCCUGGAUGCAGAAGUACUCCGUAGCUCAUCUGAAACUGGCAGAAGUUCUCCCGAAUGAACACUGGCUCAAGUCUGUCCACAUGUACUUGACCUUCAGAGUUACAGUUCAACUGCAGAGCAGGAGUCUAUUCACAAUUAUAUUCUGACGUAUGCUGGCAAGCACUUUGGAUUCUCCCCUUGUGUAUGGAGCUUGGGUCCUGCUGGCUGCCCUGGACUACAACCACCGUCUUGGCAGAUUACCCAAGUGAAUGGAUCAUUUGAGUGAGUCCAAGAUGAAGCCAUCUUGUGCUUUAGACAUGUAGUCAACAUUCAGGUACUGCAAGCUUUACAACAUGAAAUCAAGGAAGUGGACACUGCAGACAUUGAAGGCAGUGAAGAACUACAGCUACAUUCCAGCACUUCAAAGAGCUGUCCUGCAGAAAAGGCUGUCGUCCAGUGCAGGUAUGCCAUCAGUGAGGUAAAGGAGACCUGAUGAACCCAGACUUCAAGCAGUUCUGUGUGGUAUUCCAGCACUACCCACGGAAGAGUUGUUGCAGACAUAAGCCAUCAGAGAAAUAGGUUGAUCAAGAUGUUGUAAGGCUCCUUGGAGAAGAGAAACUCUCAAUUUAUAUUCCUUGACAUGGAGACUGCACCUUUGCCAAGAACUGGAGGGACUUAUCCUCAAAUGAAAUGGAGGAUACAGAGCAAAGAAAAAACAAGUUAAUAAAUCGCCUAAGACAGAAGAUGAAACUUCCAUUCACAGCCUCAGCCACAGCAACCAGCAACAGCCACUCUAAAAUUGAACUUGGCUGGAUGAACUACCAAGACUAUGUACAAACAAUAAGACGGCCUAUAGAAGGUGGAACAAAAGAGAUAAUUGUAAGGUAAAAUGACAUGGUAGCUUGAAAAAGGGAACAACUUUUUUCCCCCCACAGGAGAUCAAAGAAAGGCAAAUUAUAGGACUUUGAGUUCAUGCUUUGUGUUCUGGGUUCUGAGGAUCCCCUUGAGGCCAAUGUCACAAUUGGAACUUUGUACGCGCAAACUAAUCACAAGAUCAAGAGAUUGUAGUGAUUUUGAGCUUAAUGAUGCAACAGAUAAGCUCCUUUCACCUGACAUAUUCAACACACCUGAGUCAGCUACACAUGCAUCCUCAUCCUCAUCCAGCCUACAUUCACCCAGCUCAUCACUGGUCUCCUCCAGUCCUGUCAAAAGAUCUUAGUCCAGCACUAGGUCUUUCACUUGGAGCAGCCCCACGACUACCUCAACACUCCAAGCUAUUCUUGCUUCUCAAACAUCAAGACAGCCUCAGUCAAUAAAUCUGUCCUUUGAUGAUGAAGUUGUCAUAUUUGGAUAUGACAAACAUUCCUUUUUGAUGAUCUUGCUGACACACUGAUUUACUCAUCUCUACAAGUCAAUGCUGAUCCGCCAACAACGGUUGUGGUGACUACAGUGAAUCCAGAUUCACCCAAGCCAGUGACCGGUAACAGCCAACUGUCAGGCAGGGCAAACACAGAAUUUGAAAAUCAAACAGAGGCAGCAGUGGUAGCUGAGAUGGAAGAACAUCUUAUUCCCAUAAUGGAUUCUGACCAUAUUCCACCAGCACAAUGGCAAGUGAUUUCUUUGGAAAUCCAGAGAAUAUAGUUGAGAAGCAAAUCAUUGUGAUCCACCAAGUACACUGUGUUAAUGACAUGCUUGAAGCAUUUACAGACAAGAACAUACUGGAUGCUAAUAUUUCAUUCAAAUUUCUGGAAUAUGUUUUAUGCAACGAAGACCUGUGGAACAACCUACAAGAUCCCCAGUUUGCACCACACAUUCCAAGAGAGAAAGUGGCUCAUAUCUUGGCCUUUGGAUGGCAGCAAUUUCAGUACUUCCCAGUCCAGCUUGCCCCUCCAUUCCUCACAGAGGCUCUAUCACUCUGCUGUUCAGACAGCAGUCUAAUGGAGGCUUUCUUCAACUACAUCAGCGCAACUGAGAAGGAUGUGCUUACCGAGGCAGUUAACAACUUCAAAGGGGCUGAUAUAGAAGAACUCGUCAGCAUACUCAGCAGUCACAACUGCACUGUGCUCCCAACUGAAGAAAAUCUGUCAAAACUGGUGGAGGAAAUAGCCCACAAAGAGAUGGUGCAAGAACCAGCAUUUAUUUAUUUAUUUUAAGUGUUGGAAGCCAAUUCUUAGGUCUAUUGGGGAAUCCAUGAGUGGCAACGGACUGAACGAGAUUCUGGAUGAUCUGAAACCCAAGGCAAGAAACAUUACCAAAAUGCAUUCACUUCCCAGGAUCUAUGUCAAAUGUCAGACAAUUACCUCCAAUCAACUCUUGAGAUUUGUAAGAGAAAGAGAUGAGAAGGAGCUUGGCCUGCUCCUCAGGUACUGUACAGGGUCUAACUUGUUCUUAUCUAACACCAUUAAAAUCACAUUCACAGACCUCUCUGAGUUCACAAGACAGCCUUUGGCUCACACCUCUACUUAUUCUUUGGAACUGGCGUGUAACUAAAACAGCUAUGUAGAAUUUAGAUCAGAAUUUGAGGAGUGGAGUGUGGGUGAUGGAUAUGUCCUAAAAUGGAUUUGUUUGCUUGAACAGCAAAUGAAAAAUCAUCUUAUUUUAUUCUGUUAUCCAGUUUGUGUAAUCCAGUGGAUGAUGUUAAAUAUUUGAGGACACAUGCACCAUAGUGGGAGAUGAUCUUUUGUCAAUGUUUUGAAAUUCAAAUUAACAACUUAAGGUACUGUGUAAAAAAGUCACACACAAAAAGUCGCAUUUUGUUCUUACAAGAGAUAGAAGUGAAACACUCUGUAUUCUUGGCAAACUUGUGCGUAAAAACUGGCUAACUAUUUGUGUGUGGUUGCUGUUUUCAUUGUUUAAAUUCUAGUAUUAGGAAUUUCUAAUCUUCAAGAUCUUCAAGUUAAGGCUGAUUUAAGGUAGGUCACUACACUUGAUAAGUGUCACUUGACACUUUGCUUUCAUGUCGCACACCUGGAGAAUCUUGUUAUGUUGCAGACAGUCAUAUUUUGUUGCGCAAUGUGAUUGGGUAGCGUUACUAACAUCGCCAUGGGGAUUGUAGUUAUCAGUGAACUUCCUUAUUGAUAUUUUGGUCUAUAACUUUAGAUAACUUGUAACAUCCUUUUUUAAUUAUUUUAAUUAGUUUAGCUAGCUUGCCGAAGCAUAUAUUGAAAAUGUUGUGCGACUCUGUAUGUUCUGUCGAAACAUGCAACUUAUAAAGUUGAGCAACCUUCGAUAAAUCAGCCUUUAACAUUGCCUGGAGUUCAAAGAGCUCUAGAUAACAUUUUUUCUUACCACACUUGAAAUAUAUGUAUAUAUACAUUUAAAUUUUUAUGCCAAUUUUGAAAAAAAUGUAUUUGUUUUGCUUAAUUUGAUUUAGAUCACUGAAUGAUUUCUUUGGCUUUUGAGUUUGUAAUGUUUGAAACAGAAAACAAAUGAGUUUCAACAAUUAAAGGAUUUAAUUGCAACAAUUAAAGGAUUUAAGUGCAACAAUUAAAGAAUUUAAGUGCACAUUACACUGAAAUCAUAUAUUAUCUAAAUAAACACUAUUUCAACACAGCUUCAACUGAUGUAAAGGCCUAGGAUAUUUGACAUGGACAUUGCGGUUCUGUUUAUGAAUCUAUAUGCUACAUAGGACAUACCUGAUCA